rnacentral:rRNA from 1 species
GACGAACGCUGGCGGCGUGCUUAACACAUGCAAGUCGAGCGGUAAGGCUCCUUCGGGAGUACAUGAGCGGCGAACGGGUGAGUAACACGUGAGCAACCUGCCCUUCUCAUCGGAAUAAGCGUUGGAAACGACGUCUAAUGCCGAAUAUGACAACGGAUCGCAUGAUCUGUUGUGGAAAGCUCCGGCGGAGAAGGAUGGGCUCGCGGCCUAUCAGCUUGUUGGUGGGGUAACGGCCCACCAAGGCGACGACGGGUAGCCGGCCUGAGAGGGUGACCGACCACACUGGGACUGAGACACGGCCCAGACUCCUACGGGAGGCAGCAGUGGGGAAUAUUGGACAAUGGGCGCAAGCCUGAUCCAGCAACGCCGCGUGAGGGAUGACGGCCUUCGGGUUGUAAACCUCUUUCAGCAGGGACGAAGCGAAAGUGACGGUACCUGCAGAAGAAGGACCGGCCAACUACGUGCCAGCCGCCGCAGUAACAC